GGGCCCGUAGCUCAGCCAGGUCAGAGCGUCCGGCUCAUAACCGGGUGGUCGUGGGUUCGAAUCCCACCGGGCCCA
rnacentral:tRNA from 1 species